rnacentral:rRNA from 1 species
AUAUUGGGCAAUGCCCGCAAGGGUGACCCAGCAACGCCGCGUGGAGGAUGAAUGUCGUAAGAUUGUAAACUCCUGUUAGAGGGGAAGAAUAGUACCGGUUGGACCGGUAUAUGACUGUACCCUCAGAGAAAGCCCCGGCUAACUACGUGCCAGCAGCCGCGGUAAUACGUAGGGGGCCAGCGUUGUCCGGAUUUACUGGGUGUAAAGGGCGCGCAGGCGGGAUAAAAAGUCAGUGGUGAAAUCCUACAGCUUAACUGUAGAACUGCCUUUGAUACUUGUAUUCUUGAGUUCGGGAGAGAGAGACGGAAUUCCAGGUGUAGUGGUGAAAUACGUAGAUAUCUGGAAGAACACCAGUUGCGAAGGCGGUCUCUUGGUCCGACACUGACGCUGAGGCGCGAAAGCGUGGGGAGCAAAC